ACCUGCCAAAAUUGUCGCUACGGAUAUAGCAAAACUAAUGUAGAAUAAUAAUAAUCAAUUAGGUCGACAACAUAUCCUGUUCUAUUGCGAGAAGAAAGACAAUUUGGUAGAGGUGCUGAUGGUAACAUUGGCGCAAGGAG
ncrna:unclassified sequences lysM-TM7 RNA